rnacentral:rRNA from 1 species
GACGAACGCUGGCGGCGUGCUUAACACAUGCAAGUCGAACGAAGAGCGAUGGAAGCUUGCUUCUAUCAAUCUUAGUGGCGAACGGGUGAGUAACGCGUAAUCAACCUGCCCUUCAGAGGGGGACAACAGUUGGAAACGACUGCUAAUACCGCAUACGAUCUGACCUCGGCAUCGAGGAUAGAUGAAAGGUGGCCUCUAUUUAUAAGCUAUCACUGAAGGAGGGGAUUGCGUCUGAUUAGCUAGUUGGAGGGGUAGCGGCCCACCAAGGCGAUGAUCAGUAGCCGGUCUGAGAGGAUGAACGGCCACAUUGGGACUGAGACACGGCCCAGACUCCUACGGGAGGCAGCAGUGGGGAAUCUUCCGCAAUGGACGAAAGUCUGACGGAGCAACGCCGCGUGAGUGAUGACGGCCUUCGGGUUGUAAAGCUCUGUUAAUCGGGACGAAAGGCCUUCUUGCGAAUAGUUAGAAGGAUUGACGGUACCGGAAGAGAAAGCCACGGCUAACUACGUG